rnacentral:rRNA from 1 species
GAGUGCAAAGGCUCGCAAAAUAAACAAAAUAUUUAUAUUAUUUGUCAAGGUGUAAAGGCUUUUGAUAUAUUAUACUAAUAUAAUAAUAUUUGGUUUGUUUAAAAUAUGAGAAAGUACAUUAACGUAAGUGAUAUUUAUAAUGUUAUUAUUAGUAGUCAGUAAAGUGUUUUGAAUGAACUCGGCAAAAAGUCCCUUAACUGUUUAUCAAAAACAUAGUCAUAUGGUAAUAUAUAUGGUGUUUUCUGCUCCAUGAAAUAUUUAAAUAGCCGCAGUACAUUGACUGUGCAAAGGUAGCGCAAUCAAUUGACUUUUAAUUGAAGUCCUGUAUGAAAGAACUAAUAGGGGGUAACUGUCUCGAAGGCAUUUCGUGAACUUGCUGAGUAAGUGAAAAUUCUUACAUAUAAUUAAUAGACGAGAAGACCCUAGAAAUUUUAAGAAUUUAAUCCUAAAUCUUUUUGUUGGGGCAACAUAGUAACAGAUAAUCUACUAAUUAACAUGAAAGGUUUGUCUAAUAUGAUUAAAUUAC